rnacentral:piRNA from 1 species
AGGGGUCUUUGUCAUGUUUCUGGGGU